CGUAGGGACCGAGCGUUGUCCGGAUUCAUUGGGCGUAAAGAGCUCGUAGGCGGCCGCUCAAGUCGAAUGUGAAACCUCGAGGCUCAACCUCGAGCCUGCAUUCGAUACUGGGCGGCUAGAGUCUGGUAGGGGGAUCUGGAAUUCCUGGUGUAGCGGUGGAAUGCGCAGAUAUCAGGAGGAACACCGGUGGCGAAGGCGGGAUCCUGGGCCAGUACUGACGCUGAGGAGCGAAAGCGUGGGGAGCAAACAGGAUUAGAUGCCCUGGUAGUCCACGCCGUAAACGACGGGCGCUAGGUGUGGGAGGUCAUCGACUCCUUCCGUGCCGCAGCUAACGCAUUAAGCGCCCCGCCUGGGGAGUACGGCCGCAAGGCUAA
rnacentral:rRNA from 1 species